AUUCUUAUUAAUUCCUUUAUACUUGUGUGUACACUCACAUUAACAUCUGCUAUAUGCUGGCUGUACUCAGCCUUGUCUCAGGGUAGUAGGGUGGUAGAUAUCCCUCUAGUGGUGUGGGGGCUAUACUCAGCCUUGUCUCAGGGUAGUAGGGUGGUAGAUAUCCCUCUAGUGGUGUGGGGGCUAUACUCAGCCUUGUCUCAGGGUAGUAGGUUGGUAGAUAUCCCUCUAGUGGUGUGGGGGCUAUACUCAGCCUUGUCUCAGGGUAGUAGGGUGGUAGAUAUCCCUCUAGUGGUGUGGGGGCUGUACUCAGCCUUGUCUCAGGGUAGUAGGGUGGUAGAUAUCCCUCUAGUGGUGUGGGGGCUAUACUCAGCCUUGUCUCAGGGUAGUAGGGUGGUAGAUAUCCCUCUAGUGGUGUGGGGGCUAUACUCAGCCUUGUCUCAGGGUAGUAGGGUGGUAGAUAUCCCUCUAGUGGUGUGGGGGCUUUACUCAGCCUUGUCUCAGGGUGGUAGAUAUCCCUCUAGUGGUGUGGGGGCUAUACUCAGCCUUGUCUCAGGGUGGUAGAUAUCCCUCUAGUGGUGUGGGGGCUAUACUCAGCCUUGUCUCAGGGUGGUAGAUAUCCCUCUAGUAGUGUGGGGGCUAUACUCAGCCUGGUCUCAGGGUAGUAGGGUGGUAGAUAUCCCUCUAGUGGUGUGGGGGCUAUACUCAGCCUUGUCUCAGGGUAGUAGGUUGGUAGAUAUCCCUCUAGUGGUGUGGGGGCUAUACUCAGCCUUGUCUCAGGGUGGUAGGGUGGUAGAUAUCCCUCUAGUGGUGUGGGGGCUAUACUCAGCCUUGUCUCAGGGUAGUAGCGCCUCUUCAACCUCAGGAGGCUGAAGAAAUUUGGCUUGUCACCUAAAACCCUCACAAACUUUUACAGAUGCACAAUUCAGAGCAUCCUGUCGGGC